rnacentral:rRNA from 1 species
AUUGAACGCUGGCGGCAUGCCUUACACAUGCAAGUCGAACGGUAACAGGUUAAGCUGACGAGUGGCGAACGGGUGAGUAAUAUAUCGGAACGUGCCCAGUCGUGGGGGAUAACGUAGCGAAAGCUACGCUAAUACCGCAUACGAUCUACGGAUGAAAGCGGGGGAUCGCAAGACCUCGCGCGAUUGGAGCGGCCGAUAUCAGAUUAGGUUGUUGGUGAGGUAAAAGCUCACCAAGCCUGCGAUUUGUAGCUGGUCUGAGAGGACGACCAGCCACACUGGAACUGAGACACGGUCCAGACUCCUACGGGAGUCAGCAGUGGGGAAUUUUGGACAAUGGACGCAAGUCUGAUCCAGCAAUGCCGCGUGCAGGACGAAGGCCUUCGGGUUGUAAACUGCUUUUGUACGGAACGAAACGGUGAGCUCUAAUACAGUUUGCUAAUGACGGUACCGUAAGAAUAAGCACCGGCUAACUACGUGCCAGCCGCCGCCGUAACAC